UUAGAGAGUUAUUGAACUCAUAAACCCUUUGUGAACCUUACCGUCGUUGCCUCGGCGUGAGCUGCGGCUACCCUGUAACUACCCUGUAGCUGCCUACCCUGUAGUCGGCUACCCGGUAUUUACCCUGUAGCUUGCUCAAGGCCCGCCGAAGGACCACCAAACUCUGUUUAAUAAUGUGUAUCUCUGAAUAUUAUAACUGAAAUCAGUUA
rnacentral:misc_RNA from 1 species